AGCAGAAAAACUCAGUGAAAGAAACCAUGAUGGACAUGUUUGAUAGCAUAUCUCUAUCUCUAAUGAUACUUACAGCUGCAUGUCUUGGUAAAACUGUGGAUCAGACGCCAGAUAACCUCAUCAAGAAUCAAGAUGAAUCUGCUGUGAUCAUAUGUGCUCACAAAAUACCGAGCUAUAACCAAAUAUUAUGGUACAAACAAAGUCAGGACACGUCGGGACUCAAGUUAAUGGGAUACCUUUAUUAUAAGGCUGAGACUAAAGAGUCUGAAUUCACAAACAAGAUCAAACUGGAGGGAGAUGGAGAUAAAAAUGGCACUUUGACUAUCAACAGCCUCAGACUGAAUGACAGCGCAGUGUAUUUCUGUGCAGCAUAUUACACAGUGUUCACAAUCACCUCUGACUCAUACAAAAACCUCCUCUUUUAAACGGCUUGUUUCUGUGAAAUGCAUAUCUAUGUUUCUCCCCACAUCUCUGGAUUCUGAUUCAGUGCCAAUUCUCAGCACAAUAGGUCUAGU